GCUAAACGCGAAGAACCUUACCAAGGCUUGACAUAUAGCAGAACGCUCUAGAAAUAGAGAACUCUUUGGACACUGUUAUACAGGUGGUGCAUGGUUGUCGUCAGCUCGUGUCGUGAGAUGUUCGGUUAAGUCCGGCAACGAGCGCAACCCUCGUCCUAUGUUGCCAGCGCGUUAUGGCGGGAACUCAUGGGAUACUGCCGUGGUCAACACGGAGGAAGGUGGGGAUGACGUCAAAUCAUCAUGCCCCUUAUGUCUUGGGCUUCACGCAUGCUACAAUGGCCGGUACAAAGGGCUGCGAUACCGCGAGGUGGAGCGAAUCCCAAAAAGCCGGUCUCAGUUCGGAUUGGGGUCUGCAACUCGACUCCAUGAAGUCGGAAUCGCUAGUAAUCGCAGAUCAGCAUUGCUGCGGUGAAUACGUUCCCGGGUCUUGUACACACCG
rnacentral:rRNA from 1 species